rnacentral:rRNA from 1 species
UACGUAGGGUGCGAGCGUUGUCCGGAAUUAUUGGGCGUAAAGAGCUCGUAGGCGGUCUGUCACGUCGGCUGUGAAAACCCGAGGCUCAACCUCGGGCCUGCAGUCGAUACGGGCAAACUAGAGUACUGCAGGGGAGACUGGAAUUCCUGGUGUAGCGGUGAAAUGCGCAGAUAUCAGGAGGAACACCAAUGGCGAAGGCAGCUCGCUGGGACGGUACUGACGCUGAGGCGCGAAAGCGUGGGGAGCAAACAGG